rnacentral:rRNA from 1 species
GAUGAACGCUCGCGAUAGGCUUAACACAUGCAAGUCGAGGGGCAGCACGGGAUUAGCUUGCUAAUCUUGGUGGCGACCGGCGUAAGGGUGCGUAACGCGUAUGCAACUUGCCUGUCAGUGGGGGAUAACCCGGAGAAAUCCGGACUAAUACCGCAUACACUUUGGUUUCCGCAUGGGGACUUUAGGAAAGAUUUAUUGCUGACAGAUAGGCAUGCGUUCCAUUAGAUAGUUGGUGAGGUAACGGCUCACCAAGUCGACGAUGGCUAGGGGAGCUGAGAGGCUUAUCCCCCACACUGGAACUGUGACACGGUCCAGACUUCCACGGGAGGCAGCAGUGAGGGAUAUUGGUCAAUGGGCGAGAGCCUGAACCAGCCAACUCGCGUUAAGGAAGACGGUCCUAUGGAUUGUAAACUUCUUUAGUAGGUGAGUACAAGCAGUUACGGGUAGCUGUAAGCAGGUAACCGAAGAAUAAGUACCGGCUAACUCCGUG